AAGAGCAUUUAUAUCCCUGUGAGUUUAACACUUCAUGACUGAGAGUUGUCCUUCAUGACAACAGAACCCACAACAACCAUGACUUUUAUCACCAUCUUCAUCUGGACACUUGUCUUCUACAUUGAAGAAUCCAGAGGACAGAUCACAGUGACUCAGACUCCUACAGUGAAAACUGUUCUCCCAGGAGAGAUAGUCUCUAUGAACUGUAAAGCCAGCAUUGAUGUGCAAACUAACUGUUGGAGUUCAGGGAAACCAUGUUUAGCCUGGUAUCAACAGAAACCUGGAGGAGCUCCUAAACUACUUAUUUACUAUACUACAACACUUCAGUCUGGGACUCCAUCUAGAUUCAUUGGCAGUGGAUCUGGGAGUGACUUCACUCUGACCAUCAGUAGAGUCCAGGCUGAAGAUGCAGGAGAUUACUACUGUCAGAGUUUCCACAGUGGUAAUGUGUUCACACAGUGAUACAGAGUCGUACAAAAACCUCCCUCAGUCAGACUGCACAGUGACUGUACUGAUACAGAUGUGAUCUACUGCAGGUGCUGAGGGGAAGAGACAGUGACAUGGAACACUGAUCAGUAGAGGAGGUCAACUUUGAAUAUGUUUACAAAGCAUCAUUCAAAUCACAUGUUCCCCAUCAUCAUCAUCAUCAUCAUCCUCACGCUUGUGAAAAAUUAUUGUCAUGGUUGAAAAGUUCACUUAAAUUAAGUUUUAAAACACACACUAUCUG